rnacentral:rRNA from 1 species
CCUACGGGAGGCUGCAGUAGGGAAUUUUCGGCAAUGGGGGGAACCCUGACCGAGCAACGCCGCGUGAACGAAGACGUUAUUCGUAAUGUAAAGUUCUUUUAACAGGGAAGUAAGAGAAAUCUGACGGUACCUGAUGAAUAAGCUCCGGCUAACUACGUGCCAGCAGCCGCGGUAAUACGUAGGGAGCGAGCGUUAUCCGGAAUUAUUGGGCGAAAGGGGUGCGUAGAUGGCAGAGUAAGUCGUUUGUAAAAAUGGUGGGCUCAACCCAGUAGGGCAAAAGAUACUGCAAAGCUAGAGUAUGAUAGAGGCAAGUGGAACUACAGGUGUAGCGGUAAAAUGCGUAAAUAUAUGUAAGAACACCAGUGGCGAAGGCAGCUUGCUGGGUCGAUACUGACAUUGAGGCACGAAAGCGUGGGGAGCAAACAGGAUUAGAUACCCGUGUAGUC